CUGCCAGAUUUACCCAUCAUGCCUCUCUAAUCCUCUCCCGGUCCUGCUACUGAGGGAGAGCAAAUAAUGGAGGCCCAUCGUGAAGCCCUGUCGAAGACGGAGGAAAACCUCAGACAAGAGCUGGCUCUUAAGCUGGAGGCUGCUCUAAAGGAGCAAAGGUCCCAGAAUGCAGCGCACCUGAAGGAACGGGAGGAGGAGCUAAAGAGGGAGGCGGAGCUAGUGCUGGUGAUUGACAGGGAGAAGAGUUGGGAGAUGUUGCUGCAGUGCCAGAGAGAGAAGGAGCAGUUGCAGAAUAAGGUGGUAUUGCUUCAGGACACAGUUAGGAGGGAGUGUGAGGAGAGAGGGGAGCUGAUUACUGCUCUUACCCACGCUAGAGAGCAGCUCCUGGGCUUACGACGACCAGCCUCCCGUCCAAGUCUCCCCGACCUCCAGGGAAAACCCAUGAGACUGCCCCUCAACCGCUCCUUCACCCCUCAGCCCGCACUGAGACCCUCCCCUCCUCCCCCAGUCAACGGGAGGCCAGAAGGGGGAGGCAGGGGUGAGAGGAGCGCUGCGUCUUGGCAUGCAGGAGGCGGGUCGGGAAGGAGAAGGGGGGGGGGGGGAGGCGGCAGCCUGCCCAAACUGAAGUCCAGUGCUGU
ensembl:lncRNA